CGGAUUAAUACCGCAUACGAUCUACGGAAGAAAGCGGGGGAUCGAAAGACCUCGCGCUAUAGGGGCGGCCGAUGGCAGAUUAGCUAGUUGGUGGGGUAAAGGCCUACCAAGGCGACGAUCUGUAGCUGGUCUGAGAGGACGACCAGCCACACUGGGACUGAGACACGGCCCAGACUCCUACGGGAGGCAGCAGUGGGGAAUUUUGGACAAUGGGGGAAACCCUGAUCCAGCAAUGCCGCGUGUGUGAAGAAGGCCUUCGGGUUGUAAAGCACUUUUGUCCGGAAAGAAAACUUCUGCCCUAAUACGGUGGGAGGAUGACGGUACCGGAAGAAUAAGCACCGGCUAACUACGUGCCAGCAGCCGCGGUAAUACGUAGGGUGCGAGCGUUAAUCGGAAUUACUGGGCGUAAGGCGUGCGCAGGCGGUUCGUUAAGACAGAUGUGAAAUCCCCGGGCUUAACCUGGGAACUGCAUUUGUGACUGGCGAGCUAGAGUAUGGCAGAGGGGGGUAGAAUUCCACGUGUAGCAGUGAAAUGCGUAGAGAUGUGGAGGAAUACCGAUGGCGAAGGCAGCCCCCUGGGCCAAUACUGACGCUCAUGCACGAAAGCGUGGGGAG
rnacentral:rRNA from 1 species